UGAGGAAUAUUGGUCAAUGGGCGCAAGCCUGAACCAGCCAUCCCGCGUGCAGGAAGACGGCCCUAUGGGUUGUAAACUGCUUUUCCAGGGGGAGAAUUUUUCUGUCGUGACAGGAAUUGACGGUACCCUGGGAAUAAGCAUCGGCUAACUCCGUGCCAGCAGCCGCGGUAAUACGGAGGAUGCGAGCGUUAUCCGGAUUUAUUGGGUUUAAAGGGUGCGUAGGCGGCUUGAUAAGUCAGUGGUGAAAACCUGCAGCUUAACUGUAGACUUGCCGUUGAUACUGUCAGUCUUGAGUGUGGUCAAGGUAGGCGGAAUGUGUAGUGUAGCGGUGAAAUACUUAGAUAUUACACAGAACACCGAUUGCGAAGGCAGCUUACUGGGCCAUUACUGACGCUGAUGCACGAAAGCGUGGGGAUCGAACA
rnacentral:rRNA from 1 species